UACGAACCGAGCGAACGUUGUUCGGAAUCACUGGGCUUAAAGGGCGCGUAGGCGGAUUGUCAAGUCCGGGGUGAAAUCCCACAGCUCAACUGUGGAACUGCCUCGGAUACUGGGAGUCUCGAGGGUGGCAGGGGUAUGCGGAACUAUCGGUGGAGCGGUGAAAUGCGUUGAUAUCGAUAGGAACUCCGGUGGCGAAGGCGGCAUACUGGUCCACUUCUGACGCUGAGGCGCGAAAGCCAGGGGAGCAAACGGG
rnacentral:rRNA from 1 species